rnacentral:rRNA from 1 species
AUUGAACGCUGGCGGCAGGCCUAACACAUGCAAGUCGAGCGAGCGGCGGACGGGUGAGUAAUGUCUGGGGAUCUGCCCGCUAGAGGGGGAUAACUACUGGAAACGGUGGCUAAUACCGCAUACUAUCGGAUGACCCCAUAUGGGAUUAGCUAGUAGGUGGGGGAAAGGCUCACCUAGGCGACGAUCCCUCGCGGGUCUGAGAGGGUGACCAGCCACACAGGGACUGAGACACGGCCCCGACUCCUACGGGGGGCGGCAGUGGGGAAUAUUUCACAAUGGGCGCGAGCCUGAUGCAGCCAUGCCGCGUGUAUGAAGAAGGCCUUAGGGUUGUAAAGUACUUUCAGCGGGGAGGCGUUACCCGCAGAAGAAGCACCGGCUAACUCCGUGCCAGCCGCCGCGGUAAUAC